rnacentral:rRNA from 1 species
GACGUAGGGUGCGAGCGUUGUCCGGAAUUACUGGGCGUAAAGAGCUCGUAGGUGGUUUGUCGCGUUGUCCGUGAAAACUCACAGCUUAACUGUGGGCGUGCGGGCGAUACGGGCAGACUGGAGUACUGCAGGGGAGACUGGAAUUCCUGGUGUAGCGGUGGAAUGCGCAGAUAUCAGGAGGAACACCGGUGGCGAAGGCGGGUCUCUGGGCAGUAACUGACGCUGAGGAGCGAAAGCGUGGGGAGCGAACAGG